rnacentral:RNase_P_RNA from 2 species
CUAGGAAGAAGGAUGAUCGCCCCGCACCAGAAUUGGUGCGGGGAGGAAAGUCCAGACAGCACAAAGCAGGGUGGUCGUCGUAAGGCGACAGCCGUAAGGCCUAGUAUAGAGCAACAGUGACGAAUCCUGAUGAAAAUCGGGAGUGAAACGAGGCAAUCCUCCCCGCUGCAAUCCUAGAACCAACAGGGCUGCUUGCCCAUUUGUUGAAGUAAGGAGCGUUAGAUAAAUGAUCAUCGAGAAACAGAAUCUGGCUUACUAACUUCCUAGGCAC